rnacentral:lncRNA from 1 species
AAUCUUCUCUCACCUCCUAGACACACACACACAGAGGCACCUCCGGGAGGCUCUGGCCAGGCCUGGGUGUGGCAGGAUAGAAAUGAAAGUUGUCCUGGCAACACACAAGAUUUCAUCAACAUUUCCAUCCCCAGCAGCUCCUGGGCCAAGCCUCAUCUUGCCCAGUGUGGCCUGUCAAGAUGACGGCCUGGAAGAGAAGCCAGACUGGGCAGCCAGGCCUCUGCCCCUCCCCUUGCCUGGUGGCACAGCCAGCACUGGCUCACUGGGAAAGCUCACAACUCCUCACAGCGAUCUGGUAUCUUGAGCGUCAGUUUCUGGCCGAAACUGGGGGCUCCUGACUGAACUCCCUCCCACCUAGAAAACCUUCUGUGCAGUCUGAUUGCUCCAACACCCACAGAGCAGGAUUCAGGUAUCCCGGAGACCUUGGGAGGUCCCCAUCCAGAGGUCUGCUGUCCUGC